CACACAUAAAGGACAAAUAAGCUCAAGAGGAGGAUCUAGAUGCUUUCAGUUUUAACUAUUCACCAAUAGUGGAAAAGGCAGAAUGUCUAAGCUAUGGCUUGGUGACCAAUAGGGUAGCUGUGUAUCUCUCACAUGACUCACUGCCCCUGUCUUUCACAUGGGCUGUAAUUUAGUUCAAUUCAGAACUGCAGAUAGUACGGCUUCCACAGGAGCAAGGGAUGCCUGAGCAGAAGUGGCUGAGUUCCUAGUGACUUUACGAAGGACUUCUCCGCCUUCCUGCGGCACGAAAACAGGGAUUCUGCACCUGCACUGGGGACGGGCUGGUAAAAGCCUCUGCUCUGCCUCCGGGGACCAGGAACUACAGCAAAUAACCAUGUUGAAAUUGGAUCUUGGCAAAAUGACCAACAAAUUCAUGAAGGAAGCUGAAGGCAAUUUGAAUAAUGGUUCUACCGAAAUUGAAGAAACAUGGAUAUCUCCAAAGGAUAGUAGAGAGCUUGGUUAGUUGUACCCUAAAAUUAGGAUGUGAUUAAGGUAUGUCAUUUCUUUGGGUUCAAUUGAAAUGCUUUGUUCUUUCCAUGUCAGAGAAUUUCUUCCCUUUUUUCCUUAGUCUGUCUCUCCCUCUCUCCUCUCUUCCUUUUCUUCCUCUCAUUAGCAGAUGUCUUUUAUAAUUGAUGUUGUUCACGUCCUUUCAUCAAAUGUAUGCCACAUCACUUAGGCAAACCAGCAGACAGGGCACCUAAACACACAUUAGAGGAGAAUGGCAUCUCGGAGACGCUUCGACUGUCUCAUCAGGGCAGUUAUAAUAAGCAUCUUGGUGCCGCUGAAUGCAAUUCUGUAUUCAAAUAAUAGCUUUCAUCUUUGCUCUUUUUAAAUAUAAAAGUAAACCUUCAAGCCCUUUGAAGGACCUAACCAACAACAUACAUAUGAAAAUAGAUCAGUAAGGCUUUGAGAAAUGUCCUUAUGUAAAAUCUUCAAGAAAGACCUCCAGGUAAAUGAUGGCUUUUAAUAAGACACAUGGCAAUCUCAAUUAUGAGAAUCAUUAUUGUGUACCCUGUGUGCCAUUUUAUGUUCCCAGCAGGAUACCUUUUUUUUUCUCUCAUGAAGAAUUUCCAGGGCUGUCUACUGUCUACUGUGUAAAGUACAUUGAGUGUUUCCCCGAAGCUGCACUAUUCAAAGAAAAAAAAAAAAAAGCUAAACACACAGCAACAACAACAAAAACUUUCUCAAGUGGUCAGACAAACUGGAACUAUUGGAUUAUAGGUAAGAGGAAUAAAAUGAAAGGUUGAAAGCUAUAAUUUCUGCCUCUGUGGUGGUAACUGAAUCAGCUGUCAGGCAAUUAAAAAUAUGGCAAGUUGAGUUCAGAGACUGGAAGAGGACACUUCCCAGCUGCAGCCGGUCAGGCCCUGGCUCGGAAGACACGCAGUUAUUACAUGUUGGACCCCUCUCUCAGGCGAAUUCUUCUCUCCUCCUACCUGUGUCCCUAUUUUCCAUGAACAUUAUCACUGGCUUUGACAAUUUCUUAUUUUACUUUCCUCCUUCUCAUUCCCUUAUCUUUAAAACAAACAAAACAUAGUAGUUGUGUGGCCUCUGGUGAUCCAUGGUUGGCACCCCUAGAAACAAAGAGGGAGUUUGGGAAGGAGAUCCUGCAUUUCAGUGUCCCCUUCAAUCCACCAGAGGCUAGUUUGCUUUGGAACAUGUAGAUUUCUGGAAAAAGCCCCUCCUCUAGAGGAACAUCUGUACACAUAUACAUAUCAGGCAGCCACUUUCGUAAAUGUGCUAAUUUGAAAUGUGGAUUUUAAGGAUGUUACUAUUAAACAAAAUGACAAAAUGGCUUGCAUACUCACUAUGAGUUUGGGAGACUCAAUUCAUAAUUGAGCCUUAUCCUUUUAAUUUAACUGGAAUUAACAGAAUUUUAGAGGUGAUAGAAACUUGGAACUGUCAUAGUCACAUGAAGAUGAAGAAAUCUAACAAGCAAUUUGUCUUAAAGUCAUUUAACUUAUGUGUAAGUGCCAUUAGGGUAAUUAUAGUUUUGCAUUCAUUUAGACAAAGAAAAUAUUUUCUCAAAAAAUAUAUUUGAGAAAUAUUUUCUCAGAAACACAUCUGGGAAAUUUUUAAGGAGAAAUCUAAGUUUAUCUGUAUCUACCAUCCAACGUAAGCAAUAAUAUGUAUUAAACUGUCUGAGCAUAUUACUUAUAAUAUAACUUACUUCAAUUGUCAAUGUAUUUUCUGACUUCUAUAUAUAUCUGACAUACUUCCAAAUUGUGUACAUAAAUUAAUAUAUUUUGUAUUUACAUAUAAUUCUCAUUUGAGUUUAUUUGUAUUCUGAUUAUUUACUACUCUCAGUCCUGAAUUUUAACCAGAACAAAGAGAUUUUCUCCAAGGAAAAGAAGUGCUGCUUUCACGACUGAGAAGAAAGACUUUCCAGGCUUGACAACAGCAGUCGAAGUAGAGAAAAAGGCUACGCAGCUAUGACUGAGGGCUUAAUUUUCCCAGGUCAGAAUUUCUUCAUUUGAGGCAUAAGCAAAAUCCAAUGUAACAUUAAGGAAAGCAAUUUUAAGCAAAAUAUGAUGACCAUACACUAAAAUGUAAAUAGC
rnacentral:lncRNA from 1 species